AUCUUAAUCUGGUAGGGGAGACACCAUGAUCAGGUGGUUUUCUCAGGGUGAGGCUCAGCCAUUGCACUUCGACUGUGCUGACCCUUGCGAUUUCUCUGCAUGCGGUAAACUCGACUGCAUCACUUAUGGUAGUGGGGGCCUGCGUUCGCACUCUCCCCUG